GUUUUAAUAGAAACAAAUGCUUUUAUUCAGCAAAUAUGCAUUAAAUUUAUAAUGUAAUGUAAAUAUACACAUACAUACAUACAUACAUAUACAUACAUAUUUUAAAUAAAUGUUCCACAAAAUAUUAAGGAGCAAAAAUCGAUAAUAAAAAGAACCAUUAUAACUGAGCACCAAUAGUAGGCUAAUUGAGCAGCAAAUCAGCAUAAUUUAGUUUUAGUUUGCUAUAUUUGUGAGGAAUCAUUUUAUUUAAAUUUUUUGGUCUGGACUAAAACGUCCCAUAAACUUACAUUGACAGAGGGACUCGAGGUGAACGUGGGCGGGUAAAAAACACACCCUAGUAACCCCCUGGCUACCAAACAGCAACACUCUUAAAAAAGAAAUCGUACAAAUCUAGUAGUUUUAAACUACAAUAGUAACGUGGCAAUAGUCAGAUCUGUUAUGUAAAGCAACGAAAUAUUCUAAAAGCUUCACACUGUUCGAAGGAUGCCCCACAUGGUUUUGCGGAAGUAUUUUGGCGGAAACUCUGGUUACCAUGGCAAUUUAUUGUCCGGGUACCGACUCUAUUCCAUAUAACCUGUAAACGAAAUUUUUUUUUAUCUACGUUUCAGAGCGUCAAGAAUUAAUCCACAGCACCGAAACUUUGACUUUCACAUCCACAUUCGCUAUUGCAACAUCAUCCGAGCCUCCGUGAUGAAGGAAGCAGCCAGGAGGCGGUGUCUGAUCAGAGCCCAACAUUAAACAUAUCUGACGUCUAUAUCUCCAUCAUCAUCAUCGCCUCUCAAUGUCCAAAUAACUCUUUGCAUUUCCGUGCCAGUGUUUUUGCUUGAAAUUCGCCUUUUUCGUCUGUUUACCCUCUGAACGACUUUAGAGAUCUGAAGUUUUGCCUCAGUUUGCGCAACCGGUGUGUGAACUCGAUCAAACAGCCCGAUCCGAUCGCUGUCCAGGCGUGAUUGUGUGUUGACACCAGGGGAUUCAUAUGAGCGUGCCUCCGGUGAUCCGACCGCCGAGCCCCCUCCCGGGGUCGCAAGGCAUUUCCUUCCAAAUCCAGAUCGGCUUGAGCCGGGAACCCGUGCUGCUGGAUUCCGGCGAGUUCAGCCUGGCGCAGGUCCGAGAGAUGGCAUGCUCCAUCGUGGACCAGAAGAAACAUAACAUGAAGAUGUUUGCUGUAAGGAAAACUCAUUCACAGAGCCUGCAAGAUUAUAAAGGUCAAAUUGAGGGGAAACAUUUUAAAAGGACAAAGUGAAAAUAUGUCGCAGAUUUUAUUGUAUUAAAGGAAUAGUUCACCUCAAAAAUGAACAUUUUGUCAUCAUUUACUCACCCUCAUGCUAUUCCAAACUUGUAUGAGUUUCUUUCUUAUGUCAAACAUAGAAGAUAUUUUGAAGAAUGCUGGUAAUCAAACUGUUGAUGGUCCCCAUUGACUUUCAUUUCUAACC
ensembl:lncRNA